AGUUACAACGGUGGGACGUGUGGUUUGGAAGGGAGAAAUGGGUGCAGAGCAGGUAACCAAGGGAACAGAUGUGAGUGAUUGAUUAGAACUGAAGGGGGGAAGGUUGUUUACAGUAACUAAGGGCAAGGAGGCAUGGAGAACAAGAAAGUUGAGUUCGAGAACAAAACACAAGAACGUUAACAUGCCAAACCUUGGAAGAGAAACUGACUGUAUCUGACGGUUUUACACAUUUUAGGGAGACAGGAGACAUCAAUCAACAUAUGUAAGAUGAACACUGGUUUGAUCCGGUACAACCUGAAGCAAAAGUGGGUCAACUCGAAGCCAGGAGGGGGCUUCCAGGUCACAGAAACGGGGGUCUCCCUCGGUUGCCCAGGCUGUCUCUGGUGCCCAACGCAGGGCUCCCCGUAAUCUCUACAAAUAAUCCAGUGAAGGAACACCAGAGCGUGGAAAGCUGAGGACGACCGACAAAGGACUCCCGAACAAGUAUUCUCCUUGGUUCCCGGAAUAUGGAAUCAUGAAUGUAGAAGAUUGGGACAAGGUGGGAUCAGACUUAAAACGAGCACAAGAGGGCCGCGAUAUUCCCGUCUCUGCUUGGUCUGUGUGGUCUGCAAUUAAAACAGCCCUGGAGCCCUUCCACACUGAGGAGGAGGAGGAGGAUUUUCAGGAUGACAUAGGAAAGUUGAAUAAUCAGGAGUCUAAUUAUCAGCUAAGUGAACCAUGACAGUCUCGUUUAAAAAAGGGCGAGAAACGGGAAGGUAUGUAUGCUAAUCUCCAAAAACUUAUAAAAGAAACUGUGCCACCUACUGCGCCUUUAGGGAAAGGUCUGGAAUGGCCACCCCCAGGCCAGCCUCGUGAAUAUUUGGAAGGGGAGCCUGAGACCCACGCCUUGCCGCUCCUAUUGUUGCAGGCCCCGCCAGUAACUAUGGCGAAGGGAAGCUUCAGGCUUGUCCAACAGCCAAUUAGGAUGAGGGAAUGAUCCAGGCUUGCCCACCUGUUAGUUAUGGUAGAGGAGUGCUGCUGCUAGCGGGUCCAAAUACAAAUUAUGGCACAGGGACAAUCCAGGCAUCCAUUCGCCAGACACAAGAAAUGGGGGAUUUGAAUGCUUGGCAGUUUCUGGUAAUUAUUUCACCAGCUGAGGAGGCCAGAGAACUUACUCAAGCAUGCUGGGAGCCAUUUCCUUUUAAAAUAUUAAAAGACUUAAAGCAAGCAAUUGGACAAUAUGGGCCAAAUUCCCCUUAUGUUCAUUCCUUGUUACAGUGUGUG